GACGCGCUGGACGAGUGCUACCUCACUCCCUCGAUUUUUCCGGUCGUUUCUGAGCCUGACCAUUCCACGUGGAGCAGCCUGUGCUCCCUGGAGCAUCAGGACGUGCUCUCUGUUCCAGAUGCAGAUGAAAAGGAAAAUGACAAUGAUGACGUGGAAGUGGAAACACAAGCCCUGUCACACUCCAGUCUCAUCAGGGAGAUUCCAGAGAUUGAAGAUCAAGAUGUCUCACAAGACUCUCACG